rnacentral:rRNA from 1 species
UACGGUGGGGGCAAGCGUUGUUCGGAAUUACUGGGCGUAACGGGCUCGUAGGCGGCCAACUAAGUCAGACGUGAAAUCCCUCGGCUUAACCGGGGAACUGCAUCUGAUACUGGAUGGAUUGAGAUUGGGAGAGGGAUGCGGAAUUCCAGGUGUAGCGGUGAAAUGCGUAGAUAUCUGGAGGAACACCGGUGGCGAAGGCGGCAUCCGGGACCGACACUGACGCUGAGGAGCGAAAGCCAGGGGAGCAAACGGG